CCAACCGAGGACCAUGGCUGGACAGAAAGACUGUGCACUUUGGGGUCAGCUGGGCCUGAGUUAGACUCCAGCUCCCCCACUUGUUAGCUUCAAAUUCCGAGAUAGUUGUGUUUGAACUUAUUUGACUUCCUCUGGGGCUACUAAUCUCCACAUCGCUCAAUCCUUGGGAGUCUGUGAGCUCCCCAAGAGGGAAACUAUCUGAUUCAUCCUAAAAGCCAGAAGCAAGUCUCCCUGGAGACCUCGCCACCGGAAGGUCCACCCAGCCAAACAGCCAUCCUGGGGCAUUGCCUCCUUGCCUGGCAUGAACCCCCAGAGGAGAGCUCGUGGCUGUGAUACCAGAGUUGUCAUCUCCAGGAUGGGAGCGGUGGGAAGAGACUGUGAAGCCUGCAGACCCCAACCCCUCAGUGGGACAGCAGCAGGGACCUGGAAUCUUCCAUCAGGAAGAAGCAAUACUGGUAGGCAGCAGAUGGCAACUUCAAACACGUGCAGAUGGCUUGCAUUGUAACCCGACGGACAGUAAGAACACAUAUCCUAGAUCACCAACCUGGAAGACACCCCCUUAAAUAUACCCAACUCUGCUCAUAAGGCACCUCAGCACCCACAAUCCACUGCUAAGUGCAACCUAAGAUCUCUAUCUUAUAAACCCUUUUCAUGCCUCU